AUGGCGUGAUGAGGGCACUUUCGCAAUAACUCUUUGAACCGAUCCCAUGCAUCAUAUAAAGAUUCUUCAUCAAGCUGCUGAGUGAUUUCAUUUCGGAUCUU
rfam:Gossypium raimondii chromosome 10, whole genome shotgun sequence.